AUUGAACGCUGGCGGCAGGCCUAACACAUGCAAGUCGAACGGUAACAGGAAGAAGCUUGCUUCUUUGCUGACGAGUGGCGGACGGGUGAGUAAUGUCUGGGAAACUGCCUGACGGAGGGGGAUAACUACUGGAAACGGUAGCUAAUACCGCAUAACGUCGCAAGACCAAAGAGGGGUACCUUCGGGCCUCUUGCCAUCGGAUGUGCCCAGAUGGGAUUAGCUAGUAGGUGGGGUAACGGCUCACCUAGGCGACGAUCCCUAGCUGGUCUGAGAGGAUGACCAGCCACACUGGAACUGAGACACGGUCCAGACUCCUACGGGAGGCAGCAGUGGGGAAUAUUGCACAAUGGGCGCAAGCCUGAUGCAGCCAUGCCGCGUGUAUGAAGAAGGCCUUCGGGUUGUAAAGUACUUUCAGCGGGGAGGAAGGGAGUAAAGUUAAUACCUUUGCUCAUUGACGUUACCCGCAGAAGAAGCACCGGCUAACUCCGUG
rnacentral:rRNA from 1 species